rnacentral:rRNA from 1 species
UGAUUGAACGUGCUUGCACGGACUUGACGUUGGUUUACCAGCGAGUGGCGGACGGGUGAGUAACACGUAGGUAACCUGCCCCAAAGCGGGGGAUAACAUUUGGAAACAGAUGCUAAUACCGCAUAACAAUUUGAAUCGCAUGAUUCAAAUUUAAAAGAUGGCUUCGGCUAUCACUUUGGGAUGGACCUGCGGCGCAUUAGCUUGUUGGUAGGGUAACGGCCUACCAAGGCUGUGAUGCGUAGCCGAGUUGAGAGACUGAUCGGCCACAAUGGAACUGAGACACGGUCCAUACUCCUACGGGAGGCAGCAGUAGGGAAUCUUCCACAAUGGGCGCAAGCCUGAUGGAGCAACACCGCGUGAGUGAAGAAGGGUUUCGGCUCGUAAAGCUCUGUUGUUAGAGAAGAACGUGCGUGAGAGCAACUGUUCACGCAGUGACGGUAUCUAACCAGAAAGUCACGGCUAACUACGUGCCAGCAGCCGCGGUAAUACGUAGGUGGCAAGCGUUAUCCGGAUUUAUUGGGCGUAAAGCGAGCGCAGGCGGUUUGAUAAGUCUGAUGUGAAAGCCUUUGGCUUAACCAAAGAAGUGCAUCGGAAACUGUCAGACUUGAGUGCAGAAGAGGACAGUGGAACUCCAUUGGUA